rnacentral:rRNA from 1 species
AUUGAACGCUGGCGGCAGGCUUAACACAUGCAAGUCGAGCGGGGAAGAGUAGCUUGCUACUUAACCUAGCGGCGGACGGGUGAGUAAUGCUUAGGAAUCUGCCUAUUAGUGGGGGACAACAUCUCGAAAGGGAUGCUAAUACCGCAUACGUCCUACGGGAGAAAGCAGGGGACCUUCGGGCCUUGCGCUAAUAGAUGAGCCUAAGUCGGAUUAGCUAGUUGGUGGGGUAAAGGCCUACCAAGGCGACGAUCUGUAGCGGGUCAGAGAGGAUGAUCCGCCACACUGGGACUGAGACACGGCCCAGACUCCUACGGGAGGCAGCAGUGGGGAAUAUUGGACAAUGGGCGGAAGCCUGAUCCAGCCAUGCCGCGUGUGUGAAGAAGGCCUUAUGGUUGUAAAGCACUUUAAGCGAGGAGGAGGCUACUUUAGUUAAUACCUAGAGAUAGUGGACGUUACUCGCAGAAUAAGCACCGGCUAACUCUGUGCCAGCAGCCGCAGUAAAAC